GUGCUUGCUUCCGCAAUGCAUAUGCUAAAACCGGAACGAUGCGGAGAAGAUUAGCAUGGACCCUGAGGGAGGAUGGCAUCCAAAUUUGUGAAGCAUUCUCUACGAAA
ensembl:snRNA U6 U6 spliceosomal RNA